AUUGAACGCUGGCGGCAGGCCUAACACAUGCAAGUCGAACGAGUGGCGGACGGGUGUGUAAUGUCUGGGACACUGCCUGAUGGAGGGGGAUAACCACUGGAAACGGGAGCUAAUACCGCAUAACAUCAGAUGUGCCCAGAUGGGAUUCGCUUGUUGGUGGGGUAACGGCUCACCAGGGCGACGCUCCAUAGCUGGUCUGAGAGGGUGACCAGCCACACUGGAACUGAGACACGGUCCAGACUCCUACGGGAGGCAGCAGUGGGGAAUAUUGCACAAUGGGCGCAAGCCUGAUGCAGCCAUGCCGCGUGUAUGAAGAAGGCCUUCGGGUUGUAAAGUACUUUCAGCGGGGAGGCGUUACCCGCAGAAGAAGCACCGGCUAACUCCGUGCCAGCAGCCGCGGUAAUUC
rnacentral:rRNA from 1 species